rnacentral:rRNA from 1 species
AUACGGAGGGUGCAAGCGUUAUCCGGAAUCACUGGGUUUAAAGGGUGCGUAGGCGGCGCUAUAAGUCAGAUGUGAAAUCCCACCGCUUAACGGUGGAACUGCAUUUGAUACUGUAGUGCUUGAAUCAGGCUGAGGUCAGCGGAAUGUGUCAUGUAGCGGUGAAAUGCAUAGAUAUGACAUAGAACACCAAUUGCGAAGGCAGCUGACUAGACCUGUCUUGACGCUGAGGCACGAAAGCGUGGGGAGCGAACAGGAUUAGAAACCCCAGUAGUCC